rnacentral:miRNA from 1 species
GGGGCUGGGCGCGCGCC